UCAGAAAGAAGAGCCAUUUCCUCCCACCUGCAGCUCCCAAAGCCACCGUUCUCAUAAACUACUUUCUG
rnacentral:tRNA from 1 species